rnacentral:rRNA from 1 species
CAUGCAAGUCGAACGGCAGCACAGGGGAGCUUGCUCCCUGGGUGGCGAGUGGCGGACGGGUGAGGAAUACAUCGGAAUCUACCUUGUCGUGGGGGAUAACGUAGGGAAACUUACGCUAAUACCGCAUACGACCUACGGGUGAAAGCGGAGGACCGCAAGGCUUCGCGCGAUUGGAUGAGCCGAUGUCGGAUUAGCUAGUUGGCGGGGUAAAGGCCCACCAAGGCGACGAUCCGUAGCUGGUCUGAGAGGAUGAUCAGCCACACUGGAACUGAGACACGGUCCAGACUCCUACGGGAGGCAGCAGUGGGGAAUAUUGGACAAUGGGCGCAAGCCUGAUCCAGCCAUGCCGCGUGGGUGAAGAAGGCCUUCGGGUUGUAAAGCCCUUUUGUUGGGAAAGAAAAGCAGUCGGUUAAUACCCGAUUGUUCUGACGGUACCCAAAGAAUAAGCACCGGCUAACUUCGUGCCAGCAGCCGCGGUAAUACGAAGGGUGCAAGCGUUACUCGGAAUUACUGGGCGUAAAGCGUGCGUAGGUGGUUCGUUAAGUCUGAUGUGAAAGCCCUGGGCUCAACCUGGGAAUUGCAUUGGAUACUGGCGGGCUAGAGUGCGGUAGAGGAUGGCGGAAUUCCCGGUGUAGCAGUGAAAUGCGUAGAGAUCGGGAGGAACAUCUGUGGCGAAGCGGCCAUCUGGACCAGCACUGACACUGA